UACGUAGGGGGCGAGCGUUGUCCGGAUUUAUUGGGCGUAAAGAGCGUGUAGGCGGCCAGGUAGGUCUGCUGUGAAAAACCCCGAGGCUCAACCUCGGGCCUGCGGUGGGUACGGGGCAGACUAGAGUGCGGUAGGGGGAGAUUGGAAUUCCUGGUGUAGCGGUGGAAUGCGCAGAUAUCAGGAGGAACACCAAUGGCGAAGGCAGAUCUCUGGGCCGUAACUGACGCUGAGGAGCGAAAGCAUGGGGAGCGAACAGGA
rnacentral:rRNA from 1 species